AGAGUUUGAUCCUGGCUCAGGAUGAACGCUAGCGACAGGCUUAACACAUGCAAGUCGAGGGGCAGCGGGAGGAAAGCUUGCUUUCCUUGCCGGCGACCGGCGCACGGGUGAGUAACACGUAUGCAACUUGCCCAUGACAGGGGGAUAAGCGGGAGAAAUUCCGUCUAAUACCGCAUAACACCCCCGGGAGGCAUCUUCCGGGAGUCAAAGGAGCGAUCCGGUCAUGGAUGGGCAUGCGGCGCAUUAGCUUGUUGGCGGGGUAACGGCCCACCAAGGCGACGAUGCGUAGGGGUUCUGAGAGGAAGGUCCCCCACACUGGUACUGAGACACGGACCAGACUCCUACGGGAGGCAGCAGUGAGGAAUAUUGGUCAAUGGGCGCGAGCCUGAACCAGCCAAGUCGCGUGAGGGAAGACGGUCCUACGGAUUGUAAACCUCUUUUGUCGGGGAGCAAUAAGGCGUACGUGUACGCAGAUGCGAGUACCCGAAGAAAAAGCAUCGGCUAACUCCGUGCCAGCAGCCGCGGUAAUACGGAGGAUGCGAGCGUUAUCCGGAUUUAUUGGGUUUAAAGGGUGCGCAAGCGGAAAGUGCAAGUCAGCGGUCAAACGACGGGGCUCAACCCCGUCUCGCCGUUGAAACUGUCUUUCUAGAGUGAGCG
rnacentral:rRNA from 1 species